rnacentral:rRNA from 1 species
GGGGGGUGCAAGCGUUUGUUCGGAAUUAUUGGGCGUAAAGCGCGUGUAGGCGGUUUGCUAAGUCUGGCGUGAAAGCCCGGGGCUCAACCCCGGAAGUGCGCUGGAUACUGGUCGACUAGAGGACGGGAGGGGGAAGCGGAAUUCCUGGUGUAGGGGUGAAAUCCGUAGAUAUCAGGAGGAACACCGGUGGCGAAGGCGGCUUCCUGGCCCGUAACUGACGCUGAGAUGCGAAAGCGUGGGGAGCAAACAGGAUUAGAUACCCUGGUAGUCCACGCCCUAAACGAUGGAUACUAGAUGUCGGAAUUCCUAAUAGUUUCGGUGUCGUAGCUAACGUAUUAAGUAUCCCGCCUGGGGAUUACGAUCGCAAGAUUA